CGGUCGUACUGGUCCGGCCGGGCCUUUCCCUCUGUGGAACCCCAUGCCCUUCACUGGGUGUGGCGGGGAAACAGGACUUUUACUGUGAAAAAAUUAGAGUGCUCCAGGCAGGCCUAUGCUCGAAUACAUUAGCAUGGAAUAAUAGAAUAGGACGUGUGGUUCUAUUUUGUUGGUUUCUAGGACCGCCGUAAUGAUUAAUAGGGACAGUCGGGGGCAUCCUUAUUCAAUUGUCAGAGGUGAAAUUCUUGGAUUUAUUGAAGACUAAGUACUGCGAAAGCAUUUGCCAAGGAUGUUUUCAUUAAUCAGGAACGAAAGUUAGGGGAUCGAAUACGAUCAGAUACCGUCGUAGUCUUAACCAUAAACUAUGCCGACUAGGGAUCGGACGGUGUUAUAUUUUGACCCGUUUGGCACCUUACGAGAAAUCAAAGUGCUUGGGCUCCAGGGGGAGUAUGGUCGCAAGGCUGAAACUUAAAGAAAUUGACGGAAGGGCACCACCAGGGGUGGAGCCUGCGGCUUAAUUUGACUCAACACGGGGAAACUCACCAGGUCCAGACACUGUGAGGAUUGACAGAUUGAGAGCUCUUUCUUGAUUUUGUGGGUGGUGGUGCAUGCCCGUUAUUAGUUGGUGGAGUGAUUUGUGUGAUUAAUUGCGAUAACGAACGAGACCUUAACCUGCUAAAUAGCCCGUAUUGCUUUGGCAGUACGCUGGCUUCUUAGAGGGACUAUCGG
rnacentral:rRNA from 1 species